GUGCCAGCAGCCGCGGUAAUUCCAGCUCCAAUAGCGUAUAUUAAAAUUGCUGCAGUUAAAAAGCUCGUAGUUGGAUCUUGGGCGCAGGCUGGCGGUCCGCCGCAAGGCGCGCCACUGCCCGCCUGGCCUUCCUCUCGGUCUCCGCCCGGUUCUCUUGACUGAGUGCCGGGCGCGGCCGAAACGUUUACUUUGAAAAAAUUGGAGUGUUCAAAGCAGGCCGUGAGCCUGGACAGCAGAGCAUGGAAUAAUGGAAUAGGACCUCGGUUCUAUUGCGUUGGUUUUCGGAACUCGAGGUAAUGAUUAAGAGGGACUGACGGGGGCAUUCGUAUUGCGGUGUGAGAGGUGAAAUUCUUGGAUCGCCGCAAGACGACCCGACCUGCGAAAGCAUUUGCCAAG
rnacentral:rRNA from 1 species